rnacentral:rRNA from 1 species
CGGGUUGUAAAGUACUUUCAGCAGUGAGGAAGGUGGGUAUGUUAAUAGCAUACUCAUUUUGACGUUUAGCUGCAGAAGAAGCACCGGCUAACUCCGUGCCAGCAGCCGCGGUAAUACGGAGGGUGCGAGCGUUAAUCGGAAUUACUGGGCGUAAAGCGCAUGCAGGUGGUUUGUUAAGUCAGAUGUGAAAGCCCGGGGCUCAACCUCGGAAUUGCAUUUGAAACUGGCAAACUAGAGUACUGUAGAGGGGGUAGAAUUUCAGGUGUAGCGGUGAAAUGCGUAGAGAUCUGAAGGAAUACCGGUGGCGAAGGCGGCCCCCUGGACAGAUACUGACACUCAGAUGCGAAAGCGUGGGGAGCAAACAGGAUUAGAUACCCUCGGUAG